UUUCUAAGGAAGGCAGCAGUGGGGAAUAUUGCACAAUGGGCGCAAGCCUGAUGCAGCUAUGUCGCGUGUAUGAAGAAGACCUUAGGGUUGUAAAGUACUUUCAAUAGCAUAAGAAGGUAAUGAAACUAAUAAUUUUGUUAUCAGACGUUAGCUAUAAAAGAAGCACCGGCUAACUCCGUGCCAGCAGCCGCGGUAAUACGGAGGGUGCUAGCGUUAAUCGGAAUUACUGGGCGUAAAGAGCACUUAGGUGGUUUAUUAAGUCAAGUGUGAAAUCCCUAGACUUAAUCUAGGAACUGCAUUUGAAACUAAUAGACUAGAGUUUCGUAGAGGGAGGUAGAAUUCUAGGUGUAGCGGUGAAAUGCAUAGAUAUCUAGAGGAAUAUCAGUGGCGAAGGCGACCUCCUGGACGAUAACUGACGCUAAAAUGCGAAAGCAUGGGUAGCAAACAGGAUUAGAUACCCUGGUAGUCCAUGCUGUAAACGAUGUCGACUAAGAAGUUGAAAGCUUUGACUUAUAAUUUCUGUAGCUAACGCGUUAAGUCGACCGCCUGGGGAGUACGGCCGCAAGGCUAAAACUCAAAUGAAUUGACGGGGGCCUGCACAAGCGGUGGAGCAUGUGGUUUAAUUCGAUGCAACGCGUAAAACCUUACCUGGUCUUGACAUCCACAGAAUUUUAUAGAAAUAUAAAAGUGCAAUUUGAACUGUGAGACAGGUGCUGCAUGGCUGUCGUCAGCUCGUGUUGUGAAAUGUUGGGUUAAGUCCCGCAACGAGCGCAACCCUUGUUUUUUGUUACCAUCAGAUAAAGCUGGGGACUCAAAAGAAACUGCCAGUUAUAAACUGGAGGAAGGUGGGGACGACGUCAAGUCAUCAUGGCCCUUACGACCAGGGCUACACACGUGCUACAAUGGCGUAUACAAAGAGAUGCAAUAUUGUAAAAUAAAGCUAAUCUAUAAAAUACGUCUUAGUUCGGACUGGAGUCUGCAACUCGACUCCACGAAGUCGGAAUCGCUAGUAAUCGUGGAUCAGCAUGCCACGGUGAAUAUGUUUCCAGGCCUUGUACACACCGCCCGUCACACCAUGGAAGUGGGUUGCAAAAGAAGUAGAUUAAUUUAACCUUCUUAACAAGAAAAUAGUUUACCACUUUGUGAUUCAUGACU
rnacentral:rRNA from 1 species